GGGGGUGCACUGGCUUCGACGGGGGUCGCGAAAUCGCCUGGUGCAUGCCGAGGGGGUAGCUUUCCUCGUAAAUCCAGCUGCAAAACUCUAGUUGCCAACGACGACAACUACGCUCUCGCCGCUUAAGGCGUAAGCCCCGAAACAGCUUGUGUCCGUGCUCGCUGCGUAGGGUCAUCAUCACGGAAUCGCCGGUGAUGGCUGCCCGUCAGUCGCCGGUUAACCCAAAGCGGGCUGGUCCGCCGAUGCGCUUUGCGCGCCGUGCUGUCGGUGGACGAGACUUAACGGCGAGCUAAGCAUGUAGUACCGGGGAUGGAGUGCCUUCGGACGGCGGUUCGAUUCCGCCCACCUCCACCA
rfam:Xanthomonadales bacterium RIFOXYA1_FTLL_69_10 rifoxya1_full_scaffold_140, whole genome shotgun sequence.